rnacentral:lncRNA from 1 species
CCCUUGGCGGCUAACUGGGGAGGACUGGAAGAAAUCUAGGAUGGAGCAAGCACUGCUGGCCCACCAUGUCUGUGAGAGAACCUAAAGGCGCCUCCAGGAGGAAGCAUCUGCAUCUUUUCCUUGUUUUUUGUUUUUUUUUUUUUUGGAGGCAGGGUCUCGCUCUGUCACCCAGUGGGGAGUGCAGUGGUGCCAUGAACGCUCAUUGCAGCCUCAGGCUGGUCUCCGACUCCUGGGUUCAAAUGAUCCUCCUGUCCCAGCCUCCCAAAAUGCUGGAAUUACAGGCAUGAGUCACUGCGUCCGGCUGCUUUUCCAUUUUUCAUCGUAGCUCUAGAAUAUCCAGUACAACAUUGAACAGAACCAACUAGAACAUCCAGUGCAACGUUGAACAGUAUUAGCCAGAACAUCCAGUACAACGUUGAACAGAACCAACUAGAACAUCCAGUACAACGUGGAACAGAACCAGCUAGAACAUCCAGUACAAUGUGGAACAGAACCGGCUAGAAUAUCCAGUGCAACGUGGAUCAGAACCGGCUAGAACAUCCAGUGCAACGUGGAACAGAACCGGCUAGAACAUCCAGUGCAACUUUGAACAGAAGUGUUGAAAGCAGACACCCUUGCUUGUUUCCUAUUAUAGGGGAAAAACACUCAGUCUUUCACCGUUCUGUAGGAUGUUAGCUAGGGUUUUUUUAAAAUGCCCGUUAUCAAGUUGAGGAAAUUCCCUUUUAUUCCUAGAUUGUUGAGAGUUUUUGCCAUGAAUAGACGCUGGUUUUGCUAAAUGCCUUUUGCUGCAUCUAUUGAAAUAGUCACAUCGUUUUUGUUUUUUAUUAUACUGAUUUUCAGUGUUGAACCAAUCUUUCAUUCUUGGUAUAUAUUCCAUUUGGUCAUUUUACAAAAUCCUUUUUGUACGUUGCCAGAUUCAGCUUACUAACAUUUUUCUUAAACAGCUUUAUUAAGUUAUAAAGUGAUAUAGAAUAAACUGCAUGUAUUUAAACAAUUUGGUAAGUUUUCAUGAGUAACCACCUGCAAAACCAGUUUCAGGAGAAAAAGAGUUUUCUCAAGCCUUAAGAAUUUUUGUGUCUAUGUCUAUGGUACUACACACCAUAGGAAUAUUGGUGUGUAGCUCUGUUUUGUUUUUCCCUUGUGAUGUCUUUGUCUAGCUCUGGUAUGAGAAUAAUACUGGCUUCAUAGAAUAAGUUGG